rnacentral:tRNA from 1 species
ACGAUAGGUUUUUAGGAAGCUGCUAACUUUCUUAUAGUUAAUUACUACUUAAGAA